CUGGAACGUAGAUGUGACGGAGAAGCUAUAGCAGCUGUUUUGGACUUGACUGGAAGCUAUGGACUGAGGAUGACAACAGCUAGAUAGAAGGAACCCAGAUUUCCAGAAUGAGCUUACAGAACUAAACCUUCCCCAAAAGAGGCAAAUUUUAAAGCCUUGGCAAUGAGAAUGAAGAUUUUUUGAGACAAAGUUUCCGGGAGAAACAUAGCAUAUAGGCAAAUCCAGGGAUAGGAGAGAACAUGCAGACUUUGAGACACCUAAAGGAGUAGAGGGUGGCUGGACCGUAAAGGACAAUGGGGCAGCAGGGAGAGCGGGGGCUUGGUUGGUGUCCAGGUGGAAGAUGAUGGCAGAGCUGGAGAGACGUGGGCACAGAUGGGGAAGGAAAGCAGGGACUCCUGAGGACCAGCCAGCUUCUGGCUUGAGCAAGUGUGAUGCCUGGAGCCACAGCAGCUGUCUUGAAACCAUGAGGAGACAUGUCCAUAAAUUGCUGAGAAUGGCAUAGCAGGAAGAAGAAAAGAAUGUGAAUCACUGGUUACAUCUUUAUGCCUCCAAAUGAAACAACCCUGUUAAAUAAAAUUAUAAGUCCUCUAGCUUUUUUUUCCCUCCUUUAGUCAAGUGUUCUGCUCCUUGCGGCUGAAAACAUUCUGACUGAGAAAGUGUUCUUAUGCACUAUCUCACUUAAUCCUCUCGUAAACCUCUGAGGUUGAUAUUACUAUUAUAGCCAUUUUACAAUAAAGAAACGGAGGCUUUUGGCAGUAAACGACUUUUCCAAGGUCACAAGGACAGUGAGUUACAGAGCUGGGAUUGGAGUCAAGGCUCAAGGGUUGAUCUGAGAGUGCAAC
rnacentral:lncRNA from 10 species